rnacentral:rRNA from 1 species
GACGAACGCUGGCGGCGUGCUUAACACAUGCAAGUCGAACGGAAAGUCCCGGCUUUGUGGGGCUCCUCUGGGUGCGACCGGGGAAGUAGCACUUGGGUACCGUGUCCUUGACUUUGGGAUAUCUUAAUAAAGGUUGGUCUAUUCCGGCCUAGGAGUUCCUGCUGCUGGGUGGGGGUGGGAUGGUUUCGCCGGUUGGGGAUGGACUCGCGUCUUAUCAGCUUGUUGGUGGGGUAGUGGCUUAGCAAGGCUUUGACGGGUAGCCGGCCUGAGAGGGUGACCGGCCACAUUGGGACUGAGAUACGGCCCAGACUCCUACGGGAGGCAGCGGUGGAGAAUAUUGCAUAAUAGGCGGAAGCAUGAUGCAGCCACGCCGCGUGGGGGAUGACGGCAUUCGGGUUGUAAACCGCUUUCGCCUGUGACGAAGCGUUAGUGACGGUAAUGGGUAAAGAAGCACCGGCUAACUCCGUG